rnacentral:rRNA from 1 species
UUUCCUUACGGGGAGCAGCAGUGGGGAAUAUUGGACAAUGGGGGGAACCCUGAUCCAGUCAUGCCGCGUGUGUGAAGAAGACCUUUAUGGUUGUAAAGCACUUUAAGCGAGGAGGAGGCUACUUUAGUUAAUACCUAGAGAUAGUGGACGUUACUCGCAGAAUAAGCACCGGCUAACUCUGUGCCAGCAGCCGCGGUAAUACAGAGGGUGCGAGCGUUAAUCGGAUUUACUGGGCGUAAAGCGUGCGUAGGCGGCUUAUUAAGUCGGAUGUGAAAUCCCCGAGCUUAACUUGGGAAUUGCAUUCGAUACUGGUGAGCUAGAGUAUGGGAGAGGAUGGUAGAAUUCCAGGUGUAGCGGUGAAAUGCGUAGAGAUCUGGAGGAAUACCGAUGGCGAAGGCAGCCAUCUGGCCUAAUACUGACGCUGAGGUACGAAAGCAUGGGGAGCAAACAGGAUUAGAUACCCUGGUAGUCCAUGCCGUAAACGAUGUCUACUAGCCGUUGGGGCCUUUGAGGCUUUAGUGGCGCAGCUAACGCGAUAAGUAGACCGCCUGGGGAGUACGGUCGCAAGACUAAAACUCAAAUGAAUUGACGGGGGCCCGCACAAGCGGUGGAGCAUGUGGUUUAAUUCGAUGCAACGCGAAGAACCUUACCUGGCCUUGACAUACUAGAAACUUUCCAGAGAUGGAUUGGUGCCUUCGGGAAUCUAGAUACAGGUGCUGCAUGGCUGUCGUCAGCUCGUGUCGUGAGAUGUUGGGUUAAGUCCCGCAACGAGCGCAACCCUUUUCCUUACUUGCCAGCAUUUCGGAUGGGAACUUUAAGGAUACUGCCAGUGACAAACUGGAGGAAGNNGGGCACGAANCGUCAA